AAUGAAAUGGAGAAUAUCAAUGAAAUCACCUCGCACCCAAGAUAAACAGAAUUAUCAAAAGACAGGAUUCUCAAGUAUACCUGUAGUAAAACUGUCAAAAACUGCUUCUAUAUCUCCAGUCAUUGACUGUGCACGGAGUCUGAUGAU